ensembl:snRNA U1 U1 spliceosomal RNA
AAGUUUACCAGUAGCUGAGCUGCCAUAGUGAAGAAGGUAGUUUUCCCAGAGCAAUCUUCAUCCAUCCCACCUGGAUGUAAUGACCUCCAGAAUUUCUGAAAUUUGAAAGACUGGAUUGCAUGAUUUAUGGUAGUGGGAGAUUAUGUUUAUAUGAACUCUCU